rnacentral:rRNA from 1 species
UAUUCCUACGGGGGGCAGCAGUGGGGAAUAUUGCGCAAUGGGCGAAAGCCUGACGCAGCGACGCCGCGUGAGGGAUGAAGGGUUUCGGAUCGUAAACCUCGGUCAGAAGGGAAGAAGUUGCAUGGGGCCAAUCACCUGUGCAUUGACGGUACCUUCAAAGGAAGCACCGGCUAACUCCGUGCCAGCAGCCGCGGUAAUACGGAGGGUGCGAGCGUUAAUCGGAAUUACUGGGCGUAAAGCGCACGUAGGAUGUAUGUCAAGUCAAGGGUGACA